UCCGGCUUAUCACCGGCAGUCUGUUCAGGGUUCCAAACUCAACGAUGGCAACUAAACACGAGGGUUGCGCUCGUUGCGGGACUUAACCCAACAUCUCACGACACGAGCUGACGACAGCCAUGCAGCACCUGUGUUAUGGCUCCCUUUCGGGCACUCCCACCUCUCAGCAGGAUUCCAUACAUGUCAAGGGUAGGUAAGGUUUUUCGCGUUGCAUCGAAUUAAUCCACAUCAUCCACCGCUUGUGCGGGUCCCCGUCAAUUCCUUUGAGUUUUAAUCUUGCGACCGUACUCCCCAGGCGGUCAACUUCACGCGUUAGCUACGUUACCAAGUCAAUGAAGACCCGACAACUAGUUGACAUCGUUUAGGGCGUGGACUAC
rnacentral:misc_RNA from 1 species